rnacentral:lncRNA from 1 species
UAGGUGCAUGUCACCAUGCCUGGCUAGUUUUUUGUAGACACAAUUUUUUGUAUUUUUUGGGUUUUGUCUCCAUUGCCCAGGCUAGGACUGAAGCAAGCCACCCACCUCAACCUCCCAAAGUGUUGGCAUCACAGGCAUGAUCCACCACACUCAGCCUUGAAACCAGAUUUAAAUAUCUCAGCCCAGACAGUGUCUUAACAGAAACAGAACAGCUGAGGCAAAAAAAGAAGAUUCUCUUAGCCCAAAGUCAGUGCCCUCAUCCAAACUACUUAAUUGUGAUCACCAGUACCUUGUAUCUUUAGCCAAAUCUGAAUUAAUCUGUUCAGAAUGAACAAGCAGAAUAGUCUUUGGAUUUGAUCCAAAUCCCUGAAGCACUUUGGGAAUGAGAAUGGCUAUGCCAGACAGAGAGACCCUGGCGACUUAUGAUACUGCGGAACACAACAGGCACUUCAGAUUGGUCCCAGUUAAGUUGAGGGAGAGCAGUGAUAUUGAGCAGUCAGCUAAAGAAACAAAGCUGUAGAGAAUUGUGACUCCAAAGGCAAAGAAGGAAGUGCUCCUAAUUUGAACUAAUCUAAUAGUCACAUGGAGGAUUCUGACUGGCCCGUGUGGGGCCUUGUGCUCAUGUUCUAAGGAAUCAUUGUUGCUUGAAGCAUGGACAACUCUGGCCUGACAUGGUCCCUGGCUCGUACCUGUGACAGGACACUGAGGUAAGGGGGAGGCCUUUC